rnacentral:lncRNA from 1 species
GUUCUUCUGUAUGUGGCUGAACAGGAAGCUGUGAUGCCAACUAGACUGGUCCUGAUGGUGGUACCAGACUGGUUACUAGAAGAUGCCUGUUACUGAACUACCUCCAGUUGAUGUCCUUGUGGGUCUGCAGUCUUCCGGAAGGUCCUGACUGUUCCAGCCUGGCCACUGGAGAACUGUUGCUGCACGACCUCAAGGUUUCUGCCCCUCUGGUUGAGGUCCUGGUGUCUGCGGGGUUUGGAAAGGUCCUAACUGUUCCAGCCUGGCCACUGGAGAACUGUUGCUGCACGACCUCAAGGUUUCUGUCCCUCUGGUUGAGGUCCUGGUGUCUGCAGGGUUUGGAAAGGUGUGUGACUUUAGACGGAAUCUUAAGGCUCCUUCCACAUGAAGCAUUCUGGAAUGUUGUAAAUGAUGCAGCCAUUUCCACUUACCCAGUCUGUUGGCAGUCCUGUGUUCUGGGGCUGGGUAAAGGUCUGGUCUCCCAUCGGCCCUCCUGUGGGUUGGGCAGACACUGA